rnacentral:rRNA from 1 species
GACGAACGCUGGCGGCGUGCUUAACACAUGCAAGUCGAACGGAAAGGGCCUGCUUUUGUGGGGUGCUCGAGUGGCGAACGGGUGAGUAACACAGGAGUAACCUGCCCUGGACGGUAUGAUAACUGCAGGAAACUGGUGCUAAUACCGGCGAGGAGCGCCUGCUGCAUGGGGGGGUUUGGAAAGUUUCGGCGGUUGGGGAUGGACUUGCGGCUUAUCAGCUUGUUGGUGGGGUAGUGGCCUACCAAGGAUUUGACGGGUAGCCGGACUGGGAGGGUGACCGGCCACAUUGGGAUUGAGAUGCGGCCCAGAGUCAUACGGGAGGCAGCAGUGGGGAAUAUUGCAAAAUGGGCGGAGGCCUGAUGGAGCAACGCCGGGUGGGGGAUGACGGCAUUCGGGUUGUAAACCGCUUUCGCCUGUGACGAAGCGUGAGUGAGGGUACUGGGUAAAGAAGCACCGGCUAACUACGU